rnacentral:rRNA from 1 species
UAGGGAAUCUUCGGCAAUGGACGGAAGUCUGACCGAGCAACGCCGCGUGAGUGAAGAAGGUUUUCGGAUCGUAAAGCUCUGUUGUAAGAGAAGAACGAGUGUGAGAGUGGAAAGUUCACACUGUGACGGUAUCUUACCAGAAAGGGACGGCUAACUACGUGCCAGCAGCCGCGGUAAUACGUAGGUCCCGAGCGUUGUCCGGAUUUAUUGGGCGUAAAGCGAGCGCAGGCGGUUAGAUAAGUCCGAAGUUAAAGGCUGUGGCUUAACCAUAGUACGCUUUGGAAACUGUUUAACUUGAGUGCAAGAGGGGAGAGUGGAAUUCCAUGUGUAGCGGUGAAAUGCGUAGAUAUAUGGAGGAACACCGGUGGCGAAAGCGGCUCUCUGGCUUGUAACUGACGCUGAGGCUCGAAAGCGUGGGGAGCAAACAGGAUUAGAUACCCUGGUAGUCCACGCCGUAAACGAUGAGUGCUAGGUGUUAGACCCUUUCCGGGGUUUAGUGCCGCAGCUAACGCAUUAAGCACUCCGCCUGGGGAGUACGACCGCAAGGUU